rnacentral:tRNA from 1 species
UUAGUUAAAGCUAAAAUUUAGCAAUUUAUUGUUAAUAAAUUAUAUGAAUUAAUUAAGAUUCUAACUAAG